UUAGAUCACCUGACCGACCCAGAACAAUAUGAAUAUGAAAGAACAAAAGUAAAAUAAAUACAUUUUAUAGAUGGGAUAGAAUAUGUAAUUAAAAAAAAAAUCAAAAAUAAGGAAAAGGGAAAGGGAAAGUUUAUCUAAAAUGUUCUAAAAUGUUUCAUCUAAAAUAAAUAGAGCAGUAAAUAAACAAAUAAUAAAGAAAAAGAACAAAUUAAAAGAAUAGUUACUCAAAAGAGUAA
rnacentral:lncRNA from 1 species